AGGAAAGUUGAAAGUCGGGAAAUUGCUCCUGUUAAGCAACUGAUCAGUUGAUCUCUGCAUAAAAUCGUCAACUGGUACAGGAAGCUGGAAUUGAGCUUCAACCCCAUGACCAGCAGCCCGCAUCUCUGAACAAUUGAGGUUGGUCAUGGACUUGGGCAUAAGUUUAAAAGCAAGAGAAUAUCGUCCAUAUAUGCUCCCUUGUUGAUUACCAGUAUCUGUACGAUGAAGUGCAGGGCUGAUAUAGACCGCAGUUGCCUGAUAUAAAGAACAAUUGAGGUUGGUCAUGGACUUGGGCAUAAGUUUAAAAGCAAGAGAACAUCGUCCAUAUAUGCUCCCCUGUUGAUUACCAGUAUCUGUACGAUGAAGUGCAGGGCUGAUAUAGCCGGCAGUUGCCUGAUAUAAAGCAAGUCCAGGAU
rnacentral:lncRNA from 1 species